GGUUCUGAGCGGGAGCUGUGCACAUCUAGGCUGAGGGCCUUUCUGGUACAGCCUUCCGCGGCCGUCAGUGCUGCUUCUGCCCCAGCUCCCAUGGCAGGUGGAAAAUGCAAUCUGGAGUGUUCCUGGGGAGCUCUGCUGUGUAAACCUUGGCUUUACAGUGAGAAGACGGGCUGAUCACAGAUGUGAACCGUCAGGUAACCAGGGCUGCAGUGAGAGCCACAGAUUUCAUGGGAAGUGGAAGAGGAGAUGGAAAGAGG
rnacentral:lncRNA from 1 species